AUAGAUAAAAUUAUUCUGAAAACGAAAUCAAAUGAGAUACUAAAGCAUCUCUUCCGGGGAAAAAAUGAGUUCUGACACAACUUUUCUUUCAUAAUACCUUGAGGACAAAUUCCACCCUAACUAAGCUAAUUUUGUGCACGACAGCACAGUUGAAGGUCGUGGUAACAUCAGGGUCGAAAACAAAGAUCACGAUCGCAAAUUACUUGCAAAUAUUAAAGCAAUGUUUGACACGAACGUAGUGUCGAGUCUAGAAGGGGAUUUGAUGAUAUUAGAGAGAGUAGUAUUUUCUUGUUUUCCAAUCUGAGGCAGUCUAUAAAAGAUAAUGAGAGUAGAGCAGUGAAUCGGGGAAGUGAUGGGAGGGCGACAAGUGUGGAUUUAGCAGAAAAGAGAGAGAGAUGAGAGAAAAUGGGCAUUUUGGAAAUGCGUAUCUGUUCUUCUACUGCAUUCCCAUUUCCAGAAUAUAUUCCCAAUCCCAUAUCCCUAUCCCCUAUCCCCUCUAUCCCUAUCCCUCUGCUUAUCUCACAUGCCCUUUGCCUAUAAAUGCACCUUAUUCUCAACUCAACAAAUGCAGAACAUGACACAAAAAUAUGUAUAUAUGCAACAAAUAAGCUGUCUCUGUGUAGAGUAUAGAGGAAGAGUGGUGGUGCAUGAGAAUGCAGAGGGUGGGUGGUGGUUGUAGCCAAGGAUGACUUGCCUGCAUGCAACUUUCUACAAGCAUAUCAGUUCAUAUGUACAAGAACAAGCCACAGACACAGACUCACAAACAAAACAAAGCUACUCAAGAGUUUAUUAAUUAACAGUUAUGUUUGGUGUUGUGUUGUGUUGUGUUGUGUCUGUGUCGUGGGUUGUCUUACAGGCGGUCUCCUUGGCUAACAACACACCCUCUCAUCUCUCAUGCUCCACCAUUUCUCUUCCCCUUUUGUUCUUUUCUUCUAACCUCCCUUUGGAUUUCUGCCCAUCUUUUUCAUAUCCAACGCUCAGCAACUUUGACCUUCAUGGUAGACCCCUGCAAAUCUAACCUUUUAAUGAUGGAUUGAUGAUAUAGAUCAGAGAGUGGGGCAUGACUUUUCAAUUCAAAGAACUAGUCUUUCAACUCAAGGCUUCACAAUCAUAGAUCUCUUUUAUUUAAUUCAUUAGUUUAUUUUCACAUUGAUAUAUAUUUUGUUAUUUUUUAAUGAUUAAAUCAUGAAGAGAAUCUAAGAGUUUAGACGGAAAUACUGGAAAGAGAACAAAUCGUCAUGUCUGUUGAUUUGAUCAAACUGAUCAUCAAAUGUGCUCAAUGGAAGCCCUUCAAAGACUUCUCACAAAGAUGUGGCAUGGGCGACACGACACCAAAACAAACCCAUAAAAAAAUUGGUCCAAAGAACUAGACUUCAUAGCACCAUGCAUAAUAAGAUUAUGUAAUAUAGCUCAUGUAGUUUGAAGGGUGCUCUUUAUUUUAUUUUAUAUUUGGGGAUGAUUUUGAGAUGACUUUAGAAGGAAAAUUAGUGUUUUGCACUUUACGAGGAUGGAUAAGAUGCGGAAAAAAAAAAACAUAGAAUCCAAUGGAAUUCCUUCAAAAGGAAGGAAAGGGCGCAUCAGAAAAAGCAGAACAUAGCCAUAGCACAUAAGAUGUGUGCACUGUUAUUCAAAUUACUUUUCAAGUACUUCACAGGAUGACCAGAAAUGGUCUUUACUUUCUACACUACCAACUUCUUUUCCUAGCAGAAAACCAAAGAGAGGACGACCAAAACAUCAAAUAA